rnacentral:lncRNA from 1 species
CCGGUGCUGGGGAGGGGUGGGGGGGGGGCGCCGCUAAGCAAAGAUGUUGGUGAUGAAGUCGAGGAAGCGCUUGGCGUACUGCUCGGGGUGCACUGUGGAGAUCUCAGCCCCCACCCCAUGCUUCACGGUCUUGGCGGCGUGCGCUGCCUUCUUGCGGGCGUCGUACUGCGUCAGCACAUCGAUCAGCCCCAUGAAGUACACCUCCUUCCGGGGGGCUCCCUCAGCACUGCGGAUGGCAUAGACGUCGAUGGUGGGAUCGAACUCUCCGGGCCCGGGGGGCGAUGGCAGUUGAAAUAUGCCCCGAUACCCUCAGGAGAAGUGCCAUAGGACCCAGCCGUGCCCCCCCCC